rnacentral:rRNA from 1 species
AAUAGAUACCCCGGGUAGUCCACGCCAUAAACGAUGACAACUAGACGUUGGGAGGGUAAGCCUCUCAGUGUCGCAGCUAACGCGUUAAGUUGUCCGCCUGGGGAGUACGGCCGCAAGGUUGAAACCCAAAGGAAUUGACGGGGACCCGCACAAGCGGUGGAGCAUGUGGUUUAAUUCGAUGCAACGCGAAGAACCUUACCUGGUCUUGACAUCCACGGAAUCCUGCAGAGAUGCGGGAGUGCCGCAAGGAACCGUGAGACAGGUGCUGCAUGGCUGUCGUCAGCUCGUGUCGUGAGAUGUUGGGUUAAGUCCCGCAACGAGCGCAACCCUUGUCCUUAGUUGCCAUCAUUAAGUUGGGAACUCUAAGGAGACCGCCGGUGACAAACCGGAGGAAGGUGGGGAUGACGUCAAGUCAUCAUGGCCUUUAUGACCAGGGCUACACACGUGCUACAAUGGCAGGUACGGAGGGAGGCCAACUCGCGAGAGGGAGCCAGUCCCAGAAAGCCUGUCUUAGUCCGGAUUGGACUCUGCAACG